AUGAAUUUUAUUUUUGAGUAAGUUGGUCAAUUGGCUAAUAGAAUGCUGACACACAUAGAGCUUCGCCAGCGUGUCAGCACUCUAUUGAUCAAAUGACUAAUUUACUCAAAAAUGAACUUCAU
rnacentral:pre_miRNA from 1 species